CCUACGGGUGGCAGCAGUGAGGAAUAUUGGUCAAUGGGCGCGAGCCUGAACCAGCCAAGUCGCGUGAGGGAUGACGGUCCUACGGAUUGUAAACCUCUUUUGCCGGGGAGCAAGCGUGCGUUCGUGAACGCGCGUCGAGAGUACCCGGAGAAAAAGCAUCGACUAACUCCGUGCCAGCAGCCGCGGUAAUACGGAGGAUCCGAGCGUUAUCCGGAUUUAUUGGGUUUAAAGGGUGCGUAGGCGGCCUUUUAAGUCAGCGGUGAAAGUCUGUGGCUCAACCAUAGAAUUGCCGUUGAAACUGGGGGGCUUGAGUAUGUUUGAGGCAGGCGGAAUGCGGGGUGUAGCGGUGAAAUGCGUAGAUAUCACGCAGAACCCCGAUUGCGAAGGCAGCCUGCCAAGCCAUGACUGACGCUGAUGCACGAAAGCGUGGGGAACAAACAGGAUUAGAUACCCUAGUAGUC
rnacentral:rRNA from 1 species